rnacentral:rRNA from 1 species
AUAAGUCAGUGGUGAAAGCCCAUCGCUCAACGGUGGAACGGCCAUUGAUACUGUUAAACUUGAAUUAUUAGGAAGUAACUAGAAUAUGUAGUGUAGCGGUGAAAUGCUUAGAGAUUACAUGGAAUACCAAUUGCGAAGGCAGGUUACUACUAAUGGAUUGACGCUGAUGGACGAAAGCGUGGGUAGCGAACAGGAUUAGAUACCCUGGUAGUCCACGCCAUAAACGAUGGAUACUAGCUGUUGGAAGCAAUUUCAGUGGCUAAGCGAAAGUGAUAAGUAUCCCACCUGGGGAGUACGUUCGCAAGAAUGAAACUCAAAGGAAUUGA